AUUCUUCCUCCCAUCAAAAAGCUUGAAAUCGAGAGUGCUGUGAUCUCAAUUCCUCCCGAUUGCUACAAGUUCUGCUUCUUUCCAAAGUUGAAAGGAAGAACAAAAUCGAGCAGCCUGCAAAUCCCAAUUUGUUCUCCUCAUUUCAAAGUUGAAGGAGAAAGCAAGAGAGUUGUGAUUUUCUUCAAUACCUUCUCUUCUGCAAAUUUUGCUUCUUCGGGAAGGGUGAGCUUGUGCACGUUGGUUGCGGUUGGAAUAAGAGGUGAUUGAGGAGUAAGCUUGUGAGAUUGAGCGACGACGGGCAUGGAGGAUGUUGAGCAAAAUUCAUGGAUUAUUUAUGUUUGGCUUAAUAUUGUUGGAUAUGUCGUGUCUUCAUACUCGGCAUUUUCCGUGUCUUGAACGCUUCCGCUAAGUGUCUUUUCUUUAAAAUUGUUUUAGUAUUGAGAACCUAACUCUUUUCAAAAUUGUCUACUUUCUAGUCUUUAUUUCUUAGAAUUGGUACUUUGUUGAA